rnacentral:sRNA from 1 species
CAAUGGGGAUGCAAAUGUAACUAUGCCUUCUUUUGCGGGGAAUCCGCGGGCUUCUUCCGCAUCUGUCAGUUGUUACGUCCUAAAUGCUUGCAACCUGGGCAAGUUGUUGCUCGCCGGCAAGAAGGUAGGUAUGUACCUAAGGUAUACAUCAUUUCAUCAUAUUCUGUGCUCAUUGCACCAUGGAGAAGAAUGUCAUUUUCAAGAUACAUCCUCCUCUCCUCAAACAAACCAACGGAAACGGCCUUUCUUUGUGCAUUGCAGUGUCCAGUCAGCUUUGCAAUGUGCUCCCUCUCACAUCAACUGCCCGGAGUCGAUUGAUCCAUUGGACCCUCCCUGCUUUCAUAUUCCCCCAACUGGCA